AGCAGAACUUGGACUGAGUCCUGCAGGACACAGAUGUAGUUUCACUCUUCUUGCCCAGGCUGGAGUGUAAUGGUGCGAUCUUGGCUCGCUGCAAUCUCUGUCUCCCAGGUUUAAGUGAUUCUCCUGCCUCAGCCUCCUGAGUAGUUGAGAUUACAGAUCAGUAACCCUGUACAGGGACUGUGUUCACAGGAUAUAAGGCAAAAAAAAUCCAUCUUCUCAUAAGAGCUUUAGAGACUCUUAGGCUUCUUUACUAGGACAGCUGAGCUCUAAAGCAUGUGAACUUCACCCACCACAACUGUUUGCUCCAUCUCAAGCUCAGAACCCUGCCCUGUCUGCCUAACCACAAGUAUCCAACCCAGUAUCUACAAAUAAAUGCUUCACUCAUCUACUCCUUUCAUGAAACAUUGCAAAUCUUUUUCUUACUAGUGCUUGGGCUUGCUUUUUUUUUUUUUUUUUUUUCUUUGCAAGGAAACAUAUAGAUGAGCCUCAAGAGAUUUAGAAAUCUUUUCAGAGUAACCAGCUGAAUGUCAGAAAGUCAUAUUUGGAGGCCAAUCUAGUUAGAUUAGAUAAAUAGUUUUUAAUUUUAACAAACUGUCUUC
rnacentral:lncRNA from 10 species